rnacentral:rRNA from 1 species
GCCGUAGGUGGAAGUGCAGCGAUGCAUGCAGCCGAGCGGUACUAAUUGCCCGUAAGCUUGCGC